UCUCUCUGCCUGCGAGCUCAUUAAGAGCAA
rnacentral:piRNA from 1 species